UGGGGAAUUUUGGACAAUGGGCGCAAGCCUGAUCCAGCCAUUCCGCGUGCAGGACGAAGGCCUUCGGGUUGUAAACUGCUUUUGUACGGAACGAAAAGCCCUUCUCUAAUACAGAGGGGUCAUGACGGUACCGUAAGAAUAAGCACCGGCUAACUACGUGCCAGCAGCCGCGGUAAUACGUAGGGUGCAAGCGUUAAUCGGAAUUACUGGGCGUAAAGCGUGCGCAGGCGGUUUUGUAAGACAGAUGUGAAAUCCCCGGGCUCAACCUGGGACCUGCAUUUGUGACUGCAUAGCUAGAGUACGGCAGAGGGGGAUGGAAUUCCGCGUGUAGCAGUGAAAUGCGUAGAUAUGCGGAGGAACACCGAUGGCGAAGGCAAUCCCCUGGGCCUGUACUGACGCUCAUGCACGAAAGCGUGGGGAGCAAACA
rnacentral:rRNA from 1 species